rnacentral:lncRNA from 1 species
UCCCCACAGAGGAGCUUGAAAUUCUUGCUUCAGGCCAUAUGGAGUGGAUAUUCCUUCCAGAAGGAAAUUACAGACCACUCUCUGUUUCUACUCAACUGCUUUUCACUCUAGGAUGCUUCACCUCUUGGGGCCUUCCCCAGCAGAGGCCCAGGAUCACCUGCAAAAGGCUUCCCCAAGGGUGAGGCCAGAAGCAGGGCUGCAGAUAUGUGUCCUGAACCUCCCAUGGACCCUGCUGGCUCCCUUCAAAGGCUUCGGGCAUAGCGACUUGCCUUUCCGUCUUGUUCAGUCGUCACCAGUCAGCCGUCUGCAGACUUCUCUCCCUCACGUUGUGGCAGAGGACUUGUACAUUCUCUAGAUUUUAAAAAUAUAUAAGUUACUUUUUCUUUAAAAAAAAAAUUGUCUCUGAAAUAA